rnacentral:rRNA from 1 species
GAUCCUGGCUCAGGAUGAACGCUGGCGGCGUGCCUAACACAUGCAAGUCGAGCGAUCUCUUCGGAGAGAGCGGCGGACGGGUGAGUAACGCGUGGGUAACCUGCCCUGUACACACGGAUAACAUACCGAAAGGUAUGCUAAUACGGGAUAAUAUAUAAGAGUCGCAUGACUUUUAUAUCAAAGAUUUUUCGGUACAGGAUGGACCCGCGUCUGAUUAGCUUGUUGGCGGGGUAACGGCCCACCAAGG